rnacentral:rRNA from 1 species
UGGGGAAUAUUGCACAAUGGGCGAAAGCCUGAUGCAGCAACGCCGCGUGGGGGAUGACGGCCUUCGGGUUGUAAACCUCUUUUGGUAGGGAAGAAGCCUUCGGGUGACGGUACCUGCAGAAAAAGGACCGGCUAACUACGUGCCAGCAGCCGCGGUAAUACGUAGGGUCCGAGCGUUGUCCGGAAUUAUUGGGCGUAAAGAGCUCGUAGGCGGUUCGUCGCGUCUGCCGUGAAAUCCUCAGGCUCAACCUGAGGCGUGCGGUGGGUACGGGCGGACUAGAGUGCGGUAGGGGAGAAUGGAACUCCUGGUGUAGCGGUGGAAUGCGCAGAUAUCAGGAAGAACACCGAUGGCGAAGGCAGUUCUCUGGGCCGUAACUGACGCUGAGGAGCGAAAGCGUGGGGAGCGAACAGGAUUAGAUACCCCCGUAGUCC